rnacentral:rRNA from 1 species
UUAGAGUUUGAUUUUGGCUCAGGAUGAACGCUAGCGGGAGGCUUAACACAUGCAAGUCGAGGGGCAGCACAAGUAUUUAUAUUUGGUGGCGACCGGCGGAUGGGUGAGUAACACGUAUGCAACCUACCAUUUACAGGAGGAUAGCCCGGAGAAAUUCGGAUUAAUACUCCAUGUAUCAAUUAGUUCGCAUGAAUUUUUUGAUAAAGUUUUCAACGGUAUUUGAUGGGCAUGCGUCCCAUUAGCUAGUUGGUAAGGUAACGGCUUACCAAGGCGAUGAUGGGUACGGGGUCUUAAAGGAUGAUCCCGCACACUGGCACUGAGACACGGGCCAGACUCCUACGGGAGGCAGCAGUGAGGAAUAUUGGUCAAUGGGGGGAACCCUGAACCAGCCAUCCCGCGUGCAGGAAGACAGUUCUAGUAAUUGUAAACUGCUUUUAUUAAAGAAGAAUAAGUUUGACUUGUCAAAUGAUGACAGUAUUUAAUGAAUAAGCAUCGGCUAACUCCGUGCCAGCAGCCGCGGUAAUACGGAGGAUCCGAGCGUUAUCCGGAAUUAUUGGGUUUAAAGGGUGCGUAGGCGGCCAUUUAAGUCAGCGGUGAAAUUUUGCAGCUUAACUGUAACAGUGCUGUUGAUACUGUUUGGCUAGGAUUUGGUUGUAGUGUGCGGAAUGUGUGGUGUAGCGGUGAAAUGCUUAGAUAUCACACAGAACACCGAUUGCGAAGGCAGCACACUAAGUCAUUAUUGACGCUGAGGCACGAAAGUGUGGGGAUCAAACAGGAUUAGAUACCCUGGUAGUCCACACUGUAAACGAUGAUAACUCGCUGUCGGCGAUACACAGUCGGUGGCCAAGCGAAAGCAUUAAGUUAUCCACCUGGGGAGUACGACCGCAAGGUUGAAACUCAAAGGAAUUGACGGGGGCCCGCACAAGCGGAGGAACAUGUGGUUUAAUUCGAUGAUACGCGAGGAACCUUACCCGGGCUCAAACGGUGCAUGAAUAUACGAGAGAUUGUAUAGUCCUUCGGGACAUGUAUCGAGGUGCUGCAUGGUUGUCGUCAGCUCGUGCCGUGAGGUGUCGGCUUAAGUGCCAUAACGAGCGCAACCCUCGUCAUUAGUUGCCAUCAGGUCAAGCUGGGGACUUUAAUGAGACUGCCACCGUAAGGUGUGAGGAAGGGGGGGAGGACGUCAAAUCAGCACGGCCCUUAUGUCCGGGGCGACACACGUGUUACAAUGGGAGGUACAGAGGGCAGCUAUCCGGUGACGGAAUGCUAAUCUCCAAAACCUUUCUCAGUUCGGAUUGGAGUCUGCAACUCGACUCCAUGAAGGUGGAUUCGCUAGUAAUCGCGCAUCAGCCAUGGCGCGGUGAAAAAGGUCCCGGGCCUUGUCACACCGCCCGUCA